rnacentral:rRNA from 1 species
AUGGAUAGGCAAGGCAUUUCACCUUCGGUCUACAACAACAACGACGAGUUCGAUGCCACGAACAACAACUCCGACGCCAAGAUGCAAGCUAAAAUGGAGGAGAUCAAAGCCCUCAUCAAGUCCUACAAGCGAUCUUCCUCAUCUUCGAGAAGACGCUCAAGAGCACAUGCUUCCAAGCUACCAUCUACGGCAAGAUCACAUCGGCAUCGACGCCAUCACCAACAAGAACAUGAAGGUCAAGAGCUCUACAUCAACAACCGCUCAAAGACUUCACCAUCUCCCUUGGCAUCUUCACCAAGCGACUUCAAGGCAUCUUCGCCUUCGAAUAUUCGGCAUCUUCGCCAACAAGCACCUCAAGACUACGCUCAAGAGAAGCUCCCCAAGCUCAAGUCCGCGACUUCCAUGAGGUACUACAACCUCGACAUCGACCAUGUGAUUCCUUUCUAUGGAACUCAAGAACCCGAGGAGUACCUCGAGUGGGAGCAUUUUAUGGACGACUACCUCAAGCUACAUCAAGUUCAUCCCGAAGAUCAAGUGAAGUGCGCCAGAAGAAACUUCCACGACUACGCAUUGGCAUGGUGGCUUCACACACCUUCGGAGAGCUACAAGACGAGUUGGCCCAAGAUGAAGAGAGCUUUGCGGCGAGAGUUUGUGCCUCCAACCUACAUGGAACAACUUCAACGCCAAUUGGAGAACACCAUCCAAGGAUCCAAGUCCAUCGACGCGUACUUCAAGGAGAUGAAGCAUGCCUUGCGACGAGCCGGCGUGGACGACCCCAUUUGGAUGAAGUUCCACUUCAUGAUGGGAUUGCACAACGACGUCUCCAAGACAAUCUUCCUCGAGAACUACAAGUCCCUCGACGAAAACUACAUUGGUGCUCUCAAGGCGGAACAAGAAGUCAUGAAGGCCAAGGCUUCUCCACCCCAAGCAAACUUCACGGCAACCAAGCUCCAUGAGAACGAGCAUGAGGAUAGUACCACCAAGAUGUCCAAGCCCGAUGAGCUCCAAGAUGAUGCUCCCAAGUUCGACUUCACCGCCACCCCUCUUUGUGGCAUUGAUGGUGCCGAGUCUACCACGACUCUUUUUCAAGACAGUGCGGCGACGAGUACGACUACGGAGACCUUCAAGGACCAAGCUUUGGAGGCGAGCGACAAGGUGGCGAGCAAGGAUGAUGCUUCCAUCUUUGGAGGCGAGAGUGAUGAUGUGCCAUCUUUGGCCUUCAUCCACGGCUACGCCGACGAGAUGGUUGAGCAUGGGAUUUUCCCUUCGACCAUGGCGACGUACGAUGACUUGAGUGACUUUUGCCACCAUAUUGAGAGUGAGAGUGACUUCACCACUAGCCCCAUAUAUGACGAGUUGCCCCACUUUCCAUGUGAGGAGAGCCACAACCCCCACCACUUGUGUGAGAUGAGUGACUCCACCAUAUGUGACUUUGAGUGCACCUACUUUGAGGGAGUGAGUGAACCACCACAUAGAGAGAGUGUGAUAGUUGAUAGGUCUUGUGAGGCCAUUUUCAUUUCUAACAACUUGACCUCUACCUCUAUUGUGUCUUCUCAUUUGGUGCUAGGUCCCAUUUAUGAUGACGCGCCGAUCCUCGAUGACUUCGUCCUCCCUUUGGACAAGACGAUGGCCAUGGUGGAAUAUGAUGCACCCCCACAUCGUUCCAUCAAGAUGAUGAUAUUGACCACCAUUUGGUCUUUCCCACCUCACCUACACCACUUGAGUGGAAUGACAAAGGUAACAAAGGUGACGGUGAUACUCUAUUCCCACUAG